AAGUUACUGCAGUGGCAGUAUCAUAACCAAUGAAGUUAAUCUGAGGUGUGAUUAUUGCUAGUUGAAAACUUUUCCCUGUUGCAUGGUUUUGAAACAGAUGCAUUGUACAAUGGGAUAGCAU
rnacentral:snRNA from 1 species